rnacentral:lncRNA from 1 species
UAUAUUUUCAAAAUAAAAAAUUAAAAAAGUACAAUUUUGGAAGCAGUAAGGAAGGUGUAAUUAUGGGAAUUUAAUCCUCUACGAAAUGAUUGCACCCUUAUCCUAACUCAGAGGCAAAACAAGGCAGCACUUCGUACACAAAACAUUCAAAUAUCAAGAUCGAAAUCAGACGCUCCAAACAAGAUGAUUAUUAACCGCUCCAAAUCACUCUCAGCCACAGCUUUCAAGAGAGUGGGGCGGACGCUCCUCAACAAGACACUCAUCUCUAAAGUAAAUUAAGGGAGCGAGUUAUGCAAAUCAGUGCUGCUAAUACAUGACGCGUGUCCCUCGCCAGCUGUGUCCCGAAAACCCAACCGCCUGCCUUGAGCCUUCAGUUCGAUGCCCAUAACUCCUACCUCUAACCGCCUCUCCCGGUCACCCGCUUCACUCCCUUUUUUUUUUU